UACUGGAAUUUGUGGACCGAAGGAGCAAUCUGGAAGUUUGUAGAAACCGGCAUUUGCUAGUGGCAGACUGGUGAGUAACACGUGGGUAAUCUACCUUUUUCACGGUCAUAACUCUGAGAAAUUGGAGCUAAUAGCCGAUAGCAUUAGGUGACAUACGUUACUAUAAUUAAAGGAUUUGAUGCAAAUCAAAUUGGAAAAAGAUGAGCCCGCGUUCUAUCAGCUAGUUGGUGGGGUAAAAGCCUACCAAGGCUAUGACGGAUAGCCGGCCUGAAAGGGCGAUCGGCCUCAUUGGCACUGCGACACGGGCCAGACUCCUACGGGAGGCAGCAGUGGGGAAUUUUGGACAAUGGACGAAAGUCUGAUCCAGCAAUACCGCGUGAGGGAUGAAGGUCUUCGGAUUGUAAACCUCUUUUAAAAGAUGAUGAAUUCCGGGUUUACCCGGAAGGACAGUAAUCUAGGAAAAAGUCACGGCUAACUACGUGCCAGCAGCCGCGGUAAUACGUAGGUGGCAAGCGUUAUUCGGAAUUACUAGGCGUGAAGCACAGGUAGGUGGUCAGGUAAGUUGAAAGUGAAAGCCCCUGCUAAAUCGGGGGAGGUCUUUCAAAACUAUCUGACUUGAGUGUAGGAGGGGAAAUUGGAAUUCCUGGUGUAGCGGUGAAAUGCGUAGAUAUCAGGAGGAACACCAAAGGCGAAAGCAGAUUUCUAUCCUAUUACUGACACUGAUCUGUGAAGGCGCGGGGAGCAAACAGGAUUAGAUACCCUGGUAGUCCGCGCGGUAAACGAUGCUCACUUGGUAUAGGAGGCAUCAACUCCUUCUGUGCCGAAGCUAACGCGUUAAGUGAGCCGCCUGGGGAGUACGGCCGCAAGGUUGAAACUCAAAGGAAUUGACGGGGGCCCGCACAAGCGGUGGAGCAUGUGGUUUAAUUCGACACAACGCGAGGAACCUUACCCAGGCUUGAAAAGCUGGUUGUAUAUCGACGAAAGAUCGGUAGACCCGUAAGGGAGCCAGUAGAGGUGCUGCAUGGUUGUCGUCAGCUCGUGCCGUGAGGUGUAUGGUUAAGUCCCAUAACGAGCGCAACCCCUGUUCCAUGUUGCUAUCCCACUUCGGUGGGAGCACUCUUGGAAGACCGCCCUGGUUAACGGGGAGGAAGGCGGGGACGACGUCAAAUCAUCAUGGCCUUUAUGUCUGGGGCAACACACGUGCUACAAUGGUUACUACAAAGGGACGCUAAUCCGCAAGGUGGAGCAAAUCCCUAAAAAGUAACCCCAGUUCGGAUCGAGGGCUGCAACUCGCCCUCGUGAAGCCGGAAUCGCUAGUAAUCGCUGAUCAGCAGGCAGCGGUGAAUACGUUCCCGGGCCUUGUACACACCGCCCGUCACACCAUGGAAGCUGGUUGCAAUAGAAGCCUUGUUUCGGCAGGGUUAAGUUGUGAUUGGUGACUGGGGUGAAGUCGUAACAAGGUAGGCGUACGAGAACGUGC
rnacentral:rRNA from 1 species